ensembl:lncRNA
GUGGGAGCUGUACGGCAGUCUCAUGGGAGCUGUGCGGCAGUCUCGUGGGAGCUGUGCGGCAGUCUCGUGGGAGCGGCACGGCAGUCUCGUGGGAGCUGUAAGGCAGUCUCAUGGGAGCUGUGCGGCAGUCUCGUGGGAGCUGUAAGGCAGUCUCGUGGGAGCUGUAAGGCAGUCUCAUGGGAGCUGUGCGGCAGUCUCGUGGGAGCUGUAUUGCAGUCUCAUGGGAGCUGUACGGCAGUCUUGUGGGAGCUGUACGGCAGUCUCGUGGGAGCUGUUUGGCAGUCUCGUGGGAGCUCUAUGGCAGUCUCAUGGAAGCUGUAAGGCAGUCUCGUGGGAGCUUUGCGGCAGUCUCGUGGGAGCUGUGCGGCAGUCUCGUGGAAGCUGUACGGCAGUCUCGUGGGAGCUGUCCGGCAGUCUCGUGGGAGCUGUACGGCAGUCUCAUGGGAGCUGUCCGGCAGUCUCGUGGGAGCUCCGGCAGUCUCGUGG